rnacentral:rRNA from 1 species
AAAUUGAAGAGUUUGAUCAUGGCUCAGAUUGAACGCUGGCGGCAGGCCUAACACAUGCAAGUCGAACGGUAACAGGAAGAAGCUUGCUUCUUUGCUGACGAGUGGCGGACGGGUGAGUAAUGUCUGGGAAGCUGCCUGAUGGAGGGGGAUAACUACUGGAAACGGUAGCUAAUACCGCAUAACGUCGCAAGACCAAAGAGGGGGACCUUCGGGCCUCUUGCCAUCGGAUGUGCCCAGAUGGGAUUAGCUUGUUGGUGGGGUAACGGCUCACCAAGGCGACGAUCCCUAGCUGGUCUGAGAGGAUGACCAGCCACACUGGAACUGAGACACGGUCCAGACUCCUACGGGAGGCAGCAGUGGGGAAUAUUGCACAAUGGGCGCAAGCCUGAUGCAGCCAUGCCGCGUGUAUGAAGAAGGCCUUCGGGUUGUAAAGUACUUUCAGCGGGGAGGAAGGGAGUAAAGUUAAUACCUUU